GGCUUCUAUACUUAACUACUGCUACAGCGACCAUUGGGAUGUUUCCCUUCCAGUCUCCGGGGUGCCAGUCCUGGCACCUACACCCAACGAAGCAUUUUCCGUACAUUUAGGAUGUGGAAUUUGGAAUUCGUUUUUUUGGGUGGUGUCAUGAUUUGGCACACACUAGAGCUCUGUUUUGCAUUUUUGCUGGAGUUUUUGAUGUUCAGGGGGACUAGUAGAUGCCUUGGGAUGCCAGAGGUCACACACACUUCUCAGUGAAAGCUAGCCAGCUUGUAAGUGCGGUUCACAGCAGCAUUAUGAGCAUCACAGAGUGUGGAUGUGGAUACCGACCACAGACGGCUGUUAGCAGGUGGGCAGAUGACUAAACAGCUAACUCAUGACGGGUCAUUAUUCAGUCAGAAAAGGGGGAAAGGGUGGUGGUGAAACACUAGCCUGGAAUGCGCAGAGCCCCAGGUCCCUGCAUGGCCCCACCAUGGAAUGAAGUACCAACAGGUGCUACAAAAUGGAUGAUCCCCCAACAAUCUAGUGUUAGAAGCCAGACAGAAAACCCUCGAGAGCAGAAGAUUCCUUUUACAGUGCAGUGACCAUGACAGGCAAAUUCCCAAGAUGGAAGUAGGGGAGUGGUUCCUGGGAUAGUGGAAGGAAACCAAAUGACAGAUAACAGGUAUAGAAUGUCCUUCAGGAUGACAGAAUACUCUAGAACAGUGAUCCUCAACCUGUGGUUCUCAACCCUUGGGUGUUGAAUAACUCUUUCACAGGAGUCAUCUAAGACAAUCAGAAAACACAGACAUUCAUAUUAUGAUUCAUAACCAUAGCAAAAUUACAGUCAUGAAAUAGCAAUGAAAAUAAUUUUAUGGUUGGGGGUCACCACAUCACAAAGAACUGUAUCAAAGGGUCGCAACAUUAGGUAGGUUGAGAACCACUGCUCUAGAAUGAGACAGUAGUGAUUUAUCUGAAAACUACUUAAACCAUGCAUUUAACUUGGGCAUGGUGGAUGACAGCCCUGGGGAGCCUUGGGACAGUACGACUGUGAAAUCAAGGCUAGUUAUGGCUACAUAGUAAGAUAAAAAUAAAUAUAUAAACUAAUUAACUGAAAGGAUGGUUUUAUUUGACAUGGAUUGUAUCUCAAUAAAAAUCUAUUUAAACAAUAAAGUUGAGAAACAGUGUGUCUCUACACCCUCCCCUUACCAGGUAGAAGCUAGCUUGCUCUUUUGUUUUUGUUUUUGUUUUUAGUUUUUUGAUACAGGAUUUCUCUGUGUAGCUUUGGAGCCUAUCCUGGCACUCACUCUGUAGACCUAGCUGGCCUUGAACUCCCAGAGAUCCUCCUGCCUCUGCCUCUGCCUCUGCCUCCCGAGUGCUGGGAUUAAAGGCGUGGGCCACCAACGCCCGGCAAGCUAGCUUGUUUUUGCUUUAGCCUUCACCACUUGCCUGCCCUGUUGCACCAGCCUGUAUUGGUAGACUGUGAUUUUGCAGAAAGCUAGCAACCAGGUAUACAAUGGGCUGAAACCUAAGACCUUUGUUUAUCCUCCUGAUAGAAGAGCCUGCCUCUCUUUAGUUCACAGAACAGUGUCCAGCAGCGGCCUUGAUCUUUUCAGGAGCAUUCGUGUGUCUGCCCUUACUCAAGUCUCCCAUCUUGAAUCUGAGCUUCAAAUGACUAUGACAGCAUCAUGAUUCACAGUCUAAAUCAUUCCCCUGAGUGGAGCACCCCUUAGCCUUCUUUUAGCAAAUUGGGUUGAAAAUUAUCUGGCUUAGCCUUUGGUUUUCUUUUGGAACAUUCUCUGUAGCCCAGGCCCUAAGCUCACAGAGAUCUGCCUGCCAUUGCCUCCCCAGUACUGGGAUCAAAGGUCACUGCCCAGCUCUCUGAUUAAUCUAAAGAACAGGCUUCUGACUUGUGUGUUUAGCUUCUUCUUACUGACUUUUUCUUUUGCUCAAAAGGCAUUCAGGAACUUGCCUUGUGGCCCCUCUAAGCCAGGUCUAGGGUUUGACCUGAUGCAUGCUGAGACCCAGCGGAUCUCUGAAGUCACUGCUCUGGGAGACUAUUCUGAAAACAUUCCUCUGUCAAUUUCAAAAGAGCUCAAAUAAUUGUAUUUUCUACACUAAAUCUAAUCAGUGACUCAGCACACAUUUAUUAAAUUACUGUUACAUUGAAAGUUACACUCUCCUCCAAACAGAAAGAGCCUCAAAUCCUAGUACUUGGUAUGUUUGUAGGUGAAUAAAUAUGAACAAAUAGAGACCAAUGUUGUUUGUUUGUGGGGUCUAAAGAUUACUAUAGCUAAUAUGCACCAAACUUAAAAGGUCCUCCUUUACUCACCUAACAUUGGAGAAUAGAAACUUUCUGGAGGAAAGAAAAAAGUGAUGUAGUUUGGACUACAGAAAUAAAUCUAAGAAUUCUGGCACAUCAGCGACUGUUUGGCUUAGUGUUAACUGUAGUGUUCUGAACUGAUAGUUUUCUUCAAUAAUUCUUGCUGCUUUAUCCACUUACUCCAGAACCACUGACAUUUGAGAUCCUAAAAAAUUUAACAAUCAAGCAUCAGUGUUUUGCAAAAAUGGCUGGCUUGCUGAGCACGCAGUGUUUAUAGUGUUUUUGUUUUGUUUCUAAUAUUAAGAGAUGGAGCCUGGGACUCAGGGGCUCACUAGAGACACUCAGUUAAAUUCAGGAACCCAACAGCUAAACAUCUGAGCUUACUCUGUGAGGUGUGAAUUUAACAACACAAAUACUAAUAAAUAUUUUUUUCUUAUUGAAAUAUUGGAAGGGGGACUGCUAUGUGGCUCAACAGGUAAAGGCUACCAAGUCUGAUGAUCUAAGUUCGAACCCAAGGACUUGCCUGGUGGGAGAGAAUGACCUCAAGUGCGUUGUCCUCUGACCUCUACACCUGGGUGGUGGCACACAUGAGUACACACAUACACACAAUAAACAAAUAAAUAAAACAUAGUAAUUUUUUAAAUCUGAAAGUAUUUUUAAGAUUUAUUUUGACUUUUUAAAAAUAAGGUGUAUGUGUGUGGGUUGUGCAGACAUCAGCAGAGGCCAGAGAUGUCAUGAGUCACCCAAUAUGGGUUCUGGGAAUUGAACUCAUGUCUUCUAACAACUGCAAGGAGUAUUCUUAACUCCUCCAGCCUUCCUGAAUGGGGAGGCAGUCAAACUCUCAUUUGCAAUCCAGGUGCUAUUCCUCCUUCCAUGACUCAGUGCUUCUUAUACACAAGAAAACUGGACAGUCAUUUCUGUGAUGGAAAAGCCAAAAACAUCCUAGAGUUCCAGGCACAGGCCGGAUAUUCAUCGUUGUGUUUUAUUGUGUGAAUUGCUGAGUCUGAGCCCCAGUGAAGGCAGAGAAUUGCCUUUCCAACCAUCUGAGAGCCAUCACUUAUGAUGCUAUCUCACAGAAAGACUCUUUCCUUUCUCAUGGAAAAAAAAAAAAAUGUGUAAUCCCAAUAGCUCUCGGUAAGAAAGGCAAGCUGUGGAAACCGUAAACAUAUUCACUGUGUGGAGGAAACAGUUGGUAUUCAGUAAACAGCAAGUAAUUUAUUGACUUGGCAAGAUUCCCUUGGACUCUAGUAUAUAGUUAACUCUUAAUUACCUAAGAACAGAUUGACUAUUUGGUAAAUUCUUUGGAAUGUUAUUGAGCCAUCUCACCAUCAUCUGGCUAAAUUCUCGGCUCAUAGGAUUAUGACUAAGACACUCGUGCUAAAUGGUGGGCUGGGCCAAGGCUCACUUUCCAACCCUACAGGGUAUGUCCUUCUGCCCUGUAUUCUGUUUGCAUGAAAGACAGAAUUACUACUUUCAAAGAGUCCAAUGUAAAAGGAAGACAAGUUUUAGAAAGAAGAAAUAGAAAGAAAAAAGGGCAAGGUCCAGGCACUGUGGUGAAGACUUGUAAUCUCAUUUAUAAGGCCACAGGAGGAGGCUGUCAAGUUCAAUGCUAGCCUGGGUCAGCUGUUUCUGUGGGUUUCCCCAGCAUGGUCUUGACCCCUUUUCAAAUCACUCCUCCCUCUCUACAACUGGAUUCCAGGAGUUCAGCUCAGUGCUUAGCUAUGGAUGUCUGCUUCUGCUUCCAUCAGCUACUGGAUGAAGGCUCUACAAUGGCAUUUAAGGAAGGAGACCUGCACAUGUCAUUCACUAAGGAGAAAGAGCAGAGAAAGUCCAAUCCGGGAGAAACUGAUGAUGGGCGGAGCUCGGUGUCAGGGCAAGUAUAAAGCCCUGGGUUCAAAUCCCAAACUUCAAAACAAAGCUUAAAAAUCACCCAGGCAGACAGUGAGAUCCUGUCUCAGAACAAACAAAAAGAAAGAAGUCACCAGCAGCAAACAACGGGAUUUGGAAUUGACUGACCUAAUGACUGUAAUUUAGGGUGAAGUAGACCUCAUUCAUGUUCCUAUCUCAGGACUUAUUUGCUGUACAUACCAGGCCUAUUCUACUUGGACUCAGAACGCAACAGAAGUGAAACUGGCUGGAACAGGAGAAUUGAAGAUUGGUUAAACUCUG
ensembl:lncRNA